UGUCAGCUGCUCAACCUGUAAGGAAAACACAGACACCAAGUCAUUUUAAUUUUGUCAGCAUCACUGAUUGCUAAAAGGAAACGUUAUUUGUUCAACAGCCUUUGCCAGGGUCAGCCAAACCUCACAGACCAGGGAAUAUACAGCCAGUAGGGGGUCGACACCACAAGUUUUUGUAGUCUAAAAGAUUCUUCCCCUUAAAAAAAUUAUUCGUCUCUCCUUUGAAACAAGCAUUACUUCUCUAGAGUAGUAGAUGCUAAUACAUGGCAGAAAUAGCCUUUGUACAAGCAGGGAAAGCCCACUGAGAAAAGAAUACGCCUCUCGACCAUUUGGGGAUAAUUUCUUGUUGCUGGCAGGUUUCACUGCAGGAUGGCUGCACUGCUGAGGGCUGCUCACAUGUGCUUGAGAGUUCCCUAGGGAGGGACAGGUAGACAAGACUAUCCCCAGUAGUUGUUUUUCAGCCCUAGAUUCAGGAAACUUAACUAAUGCUUAACUAUCCAGAACUGAACUGCUCUGCUUCCACCUGGGCCAGUGUUAUUACAAAGGUAUCUGGCUCUGAAGGGAGCUGCUAUUCCCUUUAGCCUGUUUUGGGAAUCUCUGAAGAAAUGUGGAGCCUGUGGAGCCAACAGGCAUUAGCUGCCAUGGGCUGGCAGACUGUUCCCAGACUCUGCCCUAAUUCAAUCCCCACAGAUCAUCAGUGGAAGCUUAUUAGACACCAUGAAUUAAUGAAGAUAAACAAAAAUGAGAGCAAAGGGGAUUCAAUCAGCUCCGUGCCAUACCUGUUUAAGUGUAUUUCUCUCUUUGGCUUCAUUGCAGGUACUGCUUAGCUGAACUUGCUGCCCUCACCACCAUGUCCAACUGCCCCUUUGGUAGCAUCCAUGACAGCACCUUCCUAUGCUGGCUGAGAGCCUCUCUAGACCCAGCCAGAUCAGACCCCAUGCCUGCCCUGUCUGACCCCACUAAAGUCUCCUUGCUGCUGCCCCCAUGCAAGUGGCCCCCAACACCCAUCCCUGCCAUGUUUUUUUGGGGGCAGAACCCCACAACCCAGGGUUGUGGCACUGUCUUGGAUCAAAAGCUGAUUCUUUUUCCCUGGAGGACAAUGGUUUUGCAAAAGUCAGCUGGUUCUUCCUGCUUGCAACAAGAAGCAGAAAAAAGUACUUUUCCUUAGCGGGACAGAGCCUGUGGGAAGCAGGCAGAGCAUUUUAUCCCACUCCCCAUGCUCUGGGAAGUGAGGACUUGUCACAAAUUUUUCUGACAAAUGGCAGGAUUUUUCUCUGCUGCUGGAGGAAACCCAAGCCCAGAGUGUUUCUGGCAGUGAUGAAGGCAGGCAGGCAGCUGCUGGACCUCUGUAGACAUUGUUUGGGCAGAGCAAGGGCAGCCACCACCACGAUGGCCACAGCCACGUCCUGCUCUGUAACACAACACUCUUGGCGCAGUCGCUAUUUAUAAGCCUGGCUGAGAGAGGUGCUGGAGAUAAAGAUGAGCUCCCCGAUUGUUCCCAGGCUUUGGUAUUUAUCCUUGCAGCCCUUUAUCUGGACACUUGUCCCUGGCACUGUUCUGGGCACCACUUAACAGAGCCUAAAAAUAUUCCCAAAAUAGCUUUGCGUUUGCACACCCUUAUCUAGGCAUGAGUGGGUAAGAUGAAAAUCCAUUGGGUUCUCUGGCUGCACGUAGGGGAUUUGGCAUGAAUGUAAUAUUAAUAUAUGCUAUCAGCAUGCAGAAAAUAUACAACUAUUCACUUUUGAAGCCUCCUCGAGUACUGAAGUGAUAGAUGUGGUAUAUAUAAAUACAAUGCAUUGUUGCUAUAGAGUGACAUUUUUGUUACAGAGAUGUCUCUUGAGCUGUUCAUAGUUCACUCCAGGUAUGGGUGCUGUUUGCUGCCUUAUUCCUCUUUUCCCUCCACAUCGUUCCAGGAACAGGUUUUUCUGACUGUGAGAAGGCAAGCUCCAAGCUCACAACACAGCAGCAGCCAUGGAAAAUGCUUUCUUACAGUCAAAAUGGUGGGAAAUAGAUCCACAAAAGUGCUGUUUGUCUCAGCUGUGCCUGGCUUGGACUUGUUUUGCCUCUGUAAAGGUGUUGGGAGUUAAUGCCCAAGACUCAAACCCUACAUUUACCUAAUUAAUGGGCAUUCGGUCCCUAGCAAAGAGGAAAGAGGGUGUGCCUUGAGUCACAGGGAACAUAUUUAACUAAAAACCUUAAUUAGAAAGGCCUGUGUUUUCUUUGAUUUUACAGGUUCCAUUUUUCUCCUGUUUGAAGGUGUUGGUUGGAGGACCUUUUCACACUAUCAGGAUCACUACAGGGGUUCCAUUCCCCGAGGUUCAAGGCUGACAGGGGAUGUGUGAGCAUUGGGGUUUUUUUUCUUCAAUUUACCUCCAAGGACUAUAUUCCUUCCCUCUAAAAACCUUGGAAUAAUUAUAAGACUUGUAUGAUGCUUUUUUUGUGCUCUUAACUUAAAAUCAAAUUUGAUCAGCUGUAUGUUUAAGGGGGGAAAAGCACCAAAAAGCUCUUACUGUAAAUCCAGUUAUGGAUGCAAUAGCAAUCCACACAAGCCAGAAUCUAUUUUCAUCCUUAUUCCACUCAGACAUCUCUAUGUCUGUCUAUGUUACAGAAUAAUGCUGUAUUCUUAUUACAGACCAAAUAGUUUGGGUUUACACAGUGAGCACAGCAUGCAGCUGGGGAAGUUAAAAUAGCCUAAGGGUGCUCCAAGUUCCUCAGGGCAUAGCUCACAUUCUCGAUUCUGCACAUCACAGACCAGGAGCAGCAAAGCAGAGGAGGAGGUUUGGAAAUAACUGAGAAAAAAAACAUGGGUUUUCUAAAAUCUCCCUGAAAAAUAUUCAGUUAAGGAAGGGGGAAACAUAGCAAUGGCAGAGUUGUAAAGCAUCAGAAAGAAGAGGGUGAGUUUUAACCCAUAAUGUUAUUAUUUGAAUUUAAUAUUUAUUUCCUGGGAAAUCUUUCUCUGCUUUGUCUGAGCUAAAGCCAAGAGUCAUCUCCUAUGCCAUGCAGGUUUUAUUGAGAUUUAUAGCUUCACCUAGGAGCCAUCUCCCUGCUUUACAGUGGUGAACCAGGGGGUCAUUGUAAAUAAUUAAACAGCAGGUUGAGAGUUUCACACUUGUAAGAGGAGUGUGAAACUUCCAGAGCCAUGAGAAGGCAGGGUCUGUGUCCUGGAUGAGGAUGUUGACUAAAAGUUGCUGCCAUAUAAUUAUUUCUCACUUCCAUUUCUCCACUGAAUUAUUGCUACUGCAGCUUCGGGGAACGUACGACAGAAAUCCCUAGAGUCAUUUCAGACUCCCCUCCCCAUCCCACAGCCCCAAGGGGAGACACUCACCGCUGCCUUAUAAAUGUCAUCCAUGGCUGGAGCGGGUGGGCGAGGGGCCGGGG